rnacentral:lncRNA from 1 species
GCAUCCAAUUUUUCGCUAAGAGAGAGUAUCACUAAUGGGGACCAACGACCAAGGCAAUGCUCCGACUGUUGCUGUACAAGCAAGUUCACAACCAUUUUGCAAAGGUAUCACGCGGCCAAGAGGAUGUGAGCAUUAAAACUAGAACACACUGCUGUACUCGUCUUCACUGCUCAUCUGGAUAAACCACAGGAUCGCCACGCCGAAGACCACGAACGAUGACAGCUCCAUCGUCAGGGCUCCCCAUCCAAUGACACCAGCAUGCUUUAGGAUCGACGGAAUGGCAAUGCUCCCCACUAUUGAUGCGCCC